GACAGAGGUGCCGAGCGUUAGGCGGAAUCACUGGGCUUAAAGCGUGUGUAGGCGGCUUCGCCAGUACCUUGUGAAAUCCCACGGCUCAACCGUGGAACUGCUUGGUAUACUGCGGGUCUUGAGCCACCUAGGGGCAAGCGGAACAAGUGGUGGAGCGGUGAAAUGCGUAGAUAUCGCUUGGAACGCCAAUGGUGAAAACAGCUUGCUGGGGGUGCGCUGACGCUGAGACACGAAAGCCAGGGGAGCAAACGGG
rnacentral:rRNA from 1 species